UGCGGUAAUUUGACCGUGCAAAGGUAGCGUAAUCAGUAGUCUUUUAAUUGAAGGCUUGUAUGAACGGUUGGAUGAAAGAAUAGCUGUCUCUUAAAUAAUUUAGAAUUUGACUUUUAAGUGAAAAGGCUUAAAUUUAAUAAGGGGACGAUAAGACCCUAUAAAACUUUAUAAAUAAGGUGUAUAAUCUUUGAGUUAUAUUAAAAUGUUGAUAAAUACUUUAUUUAUUUCGUUGGGGCGACGUUGAUAUAAUUUGUAACUGUCUGAAUGAAUAAUAUAAUAAUAAUUAUAUUUUGAUCCUUCUUUGUGGAUUAUAAGAGUAAGUUACUUUAGGGAUAACAGCGUAAUUUUCUCAGAGAGUUCUUAUCGAAGAGAUUAGUUGCGACCUCGAUGUUGAAUUAA
rnacentral:rRNA from 1 species